rnacentral:rRNA from 1 species
GAUGAACGCUGGCGGCGUGCCUAAUACAUGCAAGUCGAGCGAACAGAUGAGGAGCUUGCUCCUCUGACGUUAGCGGCGGACGGGUGAGUAACACGUGGAUAACCUACCUAUAAGACUGGGAUAACUUCGGGAAACCGGAGCUAAUACCGGAUAAUAUAUUGAACCGCAUGGUUCAAUAGUGAAAGACGGUUUAGCUGUCACUUAUAGAUGGAUCCGCGCCGCAUUAGCUAGUUGGUAAGGUAACGGCUUACCAAGGCAACGAUGCGUAGCCGACCUGAGAGGGUGAUCGGCCACACUGGAACUGAGACACGGUCCAGACUCCUACGGGAGGCAGCAGUAGGGAAUCUUCCGCAAUGGGCGAAAGCCUGACGGAGCAACGCCGCGUGAGUGAUGAAGGUCUUCGGAUCGUAAAACUCUGUUAUUAGGGAAGAACAAAUGUGUAAGUAACUAUGCACGCCUUGACGGUACCUAAUCAGAAAGCCACGGCUAACUACGUG